rnacentral:rRNA from 1 species
UUUAUGGAGAGUUUGAUCCUGGCUCAGGAUGAACGCUGGCGGCGUGCCUAAUACAUGCAAGUCGAGCGAACAGAUAAGGAGCUUGCUCCUUUGACGUUAGCGGCGGACGGGUGAGUAACACGUGGGUAACCUACCUAUAAGACUGGAAUAACUCCGGGAAACCGGGGCUAAUGCCGGAUAACAUGUUGAACCGCAUGGUUCUACAGUGAAAGACGGUCUUGCUGUCACUUAUAGAUGGACCCGCGCCGUAUUAGCUAGUUGGUGGGGUAACGGCCUACCAAGGCGACGAUACGUAGCCGACCUGAGAGGGUGAUCGGCCACACUGGAACUGAGACACGGUCCAGACUCCUACGGGAGGCAGCAGUAGGGAAUCUUCCGCAAUGGGCGAAAGCCUGACGGAGCAACGCCGCGUGAGUGAUGAAGGUCUUCGGAUCGUAAAGCUCUGUUGUUAGGGAAGAACAAAUGUGUAAGUAACUGUGCACAUCUU